rnacentral:rRNA from 1 species
CAGCAGUGAGGAAUCUUCCACAAUGGGCGAAAGCCUGAUGGAGCAACGCCGCGUGCAGGAUGAAGGCCUUCGGGUUGUAAACUGCUUUUAUAAGUGAGGAAUAUGACGGUAACUUAUGAAUAAGGAUCGGCUAACUACGUGCCAGCAGCCGCGGUCAUACGUAGGAUCCGAGCGUUAUCCGGAGUGACUGGGCGUAAAGAGUUGCGUAGGCGGUUUGUUAAGUGAAUAGUGAAAUCUGGUGGCUCAACCAUACAGGCUAUUAUUCAAACUGGCAAACUCGAGAGUGGUAGAGGUCACUGGAAUUUCUUGUGUAGGAGUGAAAUCCGUAGAUAUAAGAAGGAACACCAAUGGCGUAGGCAGGUGACUGGACCAUUUCUGACGCUAAGGCACGAAAGCGUGGGGAGCGAACCGGAUUAGAUACCCGGGUAGUCCACGCCGUAAACGAUGGAUACUAGCUGUUGGAGGUAUCGACCCCUUCAGUAGCGAAGCUAACGCGUUAAGUAUCCCGCCUGUGGAGUACGGCCGCAAGGCUAAAACAUAAAGGAAUUGACGGGGACCCGCACAAGCGGUGGAUCGUGUUCUUUAAUUCGAUGAUAAACGAAGAACCUUACCAGGGCUUGACAUCCAGGGAAGGUCUGCGAAAGUAGACUGUGCCUUUUGGAACCCUGUGACAGGUGAUGCAUGGCCGUCGUCAGCUCGUGUCGUGAGAUGUUUGGUUAAGUCCAUCAACGAGCGCAACCCUUGUGUCUAGUUGUAUUUUUCUAGACAGACUGCUUCGGUAACGGAGAGGAAGGAGGGGAUGAUGUCAGGUCAGUAUUUCCCUUACGUCCUGGGCUAGAAACACGAUACAAUGGCUAGUACAAUGCGCAGCAAAGCCGCGAGGUGGAGCAAAUCGCAUCAAAGCUAGUCCCAGUUCGGAUUGGAGGCUGAAACUCGCCUCCAUGAAGUCGGAAUCGCUAGUAAUCGCAGAUCAGCAAGCUGCGGUGAAUACGUUCCCGGGUCUUGUACACACCGCCCGUCAAACCAUGAAAGUGACCAACACCCGAAGUCCGAUUCGUCGGCCUAAGGUGGGGGGCAUGAUUGGGGUUAAGUCGUAACAAGGUAUCCGUACCGGAAGGUGCGGAUG